rnacentral:rRNA from 1 species
UGGCGGACGGGUGAGUAAUGUCUGGGAAACUGCCUGAUGGAGGGGGAUAACUACUGGAAACGGUAGCUAAUACCGCAUAACGUCGAAAGACCAAAGGGGGGGACCUUCGGGCCUCUUGCCAUCGGAUGUGCCCAGAUGGGAUUAGCUUGUUGGUGGGGUAAUGGCUCACCAAGGCGACGAUCCCUAGCUGGUCUGAGAGGAUGACCAGCCACACUGGAACUGAGACACGGUCCAGACUCCUACGGGAGGCAGCAUG